rnacentral:rRNA from 1 species
GACGAACGCUGGCGGCGUGCUUAACACAUGCAAGUCGAACGGAAAGACCCUGCUUUUGUGGGGUUCUCGAUUGGCGAACGGGUGAGUAACACGUGAGUAACCUGCCCUUGACUUUGGGAUAACUUCAGGAAACUGGGGCUAAUACCGGAUAGGAUCUCCUGCUGCAUGGUGGGGGUUGGAAAGUUUCGGCGGUUGGGGAUGGACUCGCGGCUUAUCAGCUUGUUGGUUGGGUAGUGGCUUACCAAGGCUUUGACGGGUAGCCGGCCUGAGAGGGUGACCGGCCACCUUGGGACUGAGAUACGGAGCAGACUCCUACGGGAGGCAGUAGUGGGGAAUAUUGCACAAUGGGCGGAAGCCUGAUGCAGCAACGCUGCGUGCGGGAUGACGGCCUUCGGGUUGUAAACCGCUUUCGCAUGUGACGAAGCGUGAGUGACGGUAAUGGGUAAAGAAGCACCGGCUAACUACGUG